UACGUAGGGUGCAAGCGUUGUCCGGAAUUAUUGGGCGUAAAGAGCUCGUAGGCGGUCUGUCGCGUCUGCUGUGAAAACUCAGGGCUCAACCCUGGGCCUGCAGUCGAUACGGGCAGACUAGAGUUCGGCAGGGGAGACUGGAAUUCCUGGUGUAGCGGUGAAAUGCGCAGAUAUCAGGAGGAACACCGGUGGCGAAGGCGGGUCUCUGGGCCGAUACUGACGCUGGAGGAGCGAAAGCCGUGGGGAGCGAACAGG
rnacentral:rRNA from 1 species